rnacentral:rRNA from 1 species
UACAGAGGUCUCAAGCGUUGUUCGGAUUCAUUGGGCGUAAAGGGUGCGUAGGUGGCGCCGUAAGUCAGGGGUGAAAUUUCGGAGCUUAACUCCGAAACUGCAUUUGAUACUGCGGUGCUUGAGGACUGGAGAGGAGACUGGAAUUUACGGUGUAGCAGUGAAAUGCGUAGAGAUCGUAAGGAAGACCAGUGGCGAAGGCGGGUCUCUGGACAGUUCCUGACGCUGAGGCACGAAGGUCAGGGGAGCAAACGGG